CUGAGUACGGCGGAACACGUGAAAUUCCGUCGGAAUCCGGGAGGACCAUCUCCCAAGGCUAAAUACUCCCUAGUGACCGAUAGUGAACCAGUACCGUGAGGGAAAGGUGAAAAGCACCCCGGAAGGGGAGUGAAACAGUUCCUGAAACCGUGUGCCUACAAGUAGUUAGAGCCCGUUAAUGGGUGAUAGCGUGCCUUUUGUAGAAUGAACCGGCGAGUUACGAUUUGUUGCAAGGUUAAGCGGAAAAAGCGGAGCCGUAGCGAAAGCGAGUCUGAAUAGGGCGCAUAAGUAACAGGUCGUAGACCCGAAACCAGGUGAUCUACCCAUGUCCAGGAUGAAGGUAAGGUAAUACUUACUGGAGGUCCGAACCCACGCACGUUGAAAAGUGCGGGGAUGAGGUGUGGGUAGCGGAGAAAUUCCAAUCGAACUUGGAGAUAGCUGGUUCUCUCCGAAAUAGCUUUAGGGCUAGCCUCGAGGUAAAGAGUCAUGGAGGUAGAGCACUGUUUGGACUAGGGGCCCUUCUCGGGUUACCGAAUUC
rnacentral:rRNA from 1 species